rnacentral:rRNA from 1 species
UGGGGAAUAUUGGACAAUGGGGGAAACCCUGAUCCAGCUAUGCCGCGUGAAUGAUGAAGGCCUUCGGGUUGUAAAGUUCUUUUAGGUGGGACGAUAAUGACGGUACCACCAGAAAAAGCCCCGGCAAACUUCGUGCCAGCAGCCGCGGUAAUACGAAGGGGGCAAGCGUUGCUCGGAUUUAUUGGGCGUAAAGGGUGUGUAGGCGGCUUUGUAAGUUAGGUGUGAAAUCCCGGGGCUUAACCCCGGAACUGCACUUAAGACUGCAAAGCUUGAAGUUCGAAGAGGUAGGCAGAAUUCCCAGUGUAGAGGUGAAAUUCGUAGAUAUUGGGAAGAAUACCAAUGGCGUAGGCAGCUUACUGGUCGACACUUGACGCUGAGGCACGAAAGCGUGGGGAGCAAA